GUGGGGUAACGGCCUACCAAGGCUAUGACGGGUAGCUGACGUGAGAGCGUGAGCAGCCACACUGGGACUGAGACACGGCCCAGACUCCUACGGGAGGCAGCAGUGGGGAAUAUUGCACAAUGGGCGCAAGCCUGAUGCAGCGAUGCCGCGUGCGGGAUGAAGGCCCUAGGGUUGUAAACCGCUUUCAGUAGGGAAGAAAAUGACGGUACCUACAGAAGAAGGUGCGGCCAACUACGUGCCAGCAGCCGCGGUGACACGUAGGCACCAAGCGUUGUCCGGAUUUAUUGGGCGUAAAGAGCUCGUAGGCGGUUUGGUAAGUCGGGUGUGAAAACUCUGGGCUCAACCCAGAGAGGCCACUCGAUACUGCUAUGACUAGAGUACGGUAGGGGAGCGGGGAAUUCCUGGUGUAGCGGUGAAAUGCGCAGAUAUCAGGAGGAACACCAGCGGCGAAGGCGCCGCUCUGGGCCGUAACUGACGCUGAGGAGCGAAAGCAUGGGUAGCAAACAGGAUUAGAUACCCUGGUAGUCCAUGCCGUAAACGUUGGGCACUAGGUGUGGGUCUCAACCAACGAGAUCCGCGCCGUCGCUAACGCAUUAAGUG
rnacentral:rRNA from 1 species